UACGUAGGGACCGAGCGUUGUCCGGAUUCAUUGGGCGUAAAGAGUUCGUAGGCGGUUUGUCGCGUCCGUUGUGAAAGCUUGGGGCUCAACCCCAGGUCUGCAGUGGAUACGGGCAGGCUAGAGUCAGGUAGGGGAGAACGGAAUUCCUGGUGUAGCGGUGAAAUGCGCAGAUAUCAGGAGGAACACCGGUGGCGAAGGCGGUUCUCUGGGCCUGUACUGACGCUGAGGAACGAAAGCGUGGGGAGCGAACAGG
rnacentral:rRNA from 1 species